CCCAAGGCGCCGCGGCGUUCUGUCUCCACGACAACACCAGAUCGGCGCGUCCUGGCGGGGCCGGAGGCGGAAUGGCUCACGCUCAGGCUGAAAGUGUCAUUAAGAACAUCAUCCGUGAAAUAGGACAAGAAUGUGCCAUCAAAGGACAAACUGUGCCUGAAACCUUGGUGGCUUUCAUGGUGAAAGCUGUUGUUUUGGAUCCAGAGAAUAACUUCAAUGUGGAUCGAACCCUCACAAAGAAUGAUGUGCAAAAAUUGAUUAAGCUCUGUAUCGAUAGACUGCUUGACACAACAAAUCCAUCCUUGGAUACCAUUAAGAUGCAAGUCUUCUUUGAUAUGAAUUAUAUAAACAGAGUUGAAUUACUUAAUGAACAGCAUCACAUUGUAGAGUCCAGACUGGCUUCUGUAACCCGAGAAAUCACAGACAGCCGUGCUCGUACACGAGAAGAACUGGAAAGUGUUUACCGAAAGAUUGUUAGCUAUGUGCUGCUGCGCUCAGGUCUUGGAUCUCCAACAGACAUCAAGGCUGUCAGGGAGGCAACAGCUGCCUUGCAGAGUGUGUUUCCUCAAACGGAGAUGGGAGUCUUUCUCUCUCUCACUAAGAAGGACAAAGAGCGACAGCUGAAAGAACUAACAAUGACUGUUACAGGAAUUCGGUUAUUCAACAAAGACACUGGAAAAGGAGGAGAAAGCAUUGAUGACAUGCCAGCUAUUCUGAAUGAAGCUAUCCCAGCAGCCACACAGUCUAUUGAUGCAGAGCUUCAUGCUUCCCAGCAGAUGGCUCACCGCUACACAGCUCUUCUGGAAUCAGUGCAUGAGAAUCUACAGGGAAAUAUACAACUAGGAUCAAAUAUGUUGAAGGAAGCACUAUUCAAUGUGAGACAACAUGAAGCCUUCCUAUGCAUCAUUCUGUCGGAUGUGAUCACAUGCGCUCAAGAAGUUGAAAUGAUGCAGAAGCAAUUUGCAGCACAAAUGGAGCACUUAAAAAGCAUUGUUCAAGCAAAGACAGCUGUACCUACAUCACAAGUUUUUCCUGUCUUUAUAGCACUUGCUAACCUAUGGACCAGUUUUCAGGAUGAAAUAAUACUACUCAGUUUCCUCACUAAUAUAGCUGUCAAUCUGCAUCAGUUUUUGGGAACUCACUUGCAGCUCUUUCCUGAUGAAAUGAUGGAGUCUCAUCUUGAAGGAGUGACUGUGAAAAGUGAUCAGCAAAGGAUAGAGGAAACAAUGGGAAUCAAAGUAGAUGUUUCAGAUUUCAAGGAACAAGAAUGGCUUUUUCCAGAAACCACCGCUAAUUUCGAUCAACUACAGAUCCAGUAUCAUGGGUUUUGUGCACACACAUUUGCUGUGAAAGAUGGCCUCCUCCUUCCAGGAAAUCCUACUAUUGGUAUUUUGAAACAUAAGGAGAAAUUUUAUGCCUUCAAUUCCAAGGAAUCUGCCUAUAUUUUUGCCCCAAAUCCAGAUAAGUUCAUUCAGCUGAUUAUAGAAAAAGCAAAAGAAAAUGCAGAAUUAAUUCAGUUGCUCGAGCUUCACAAUCAGUUUGAAUCCCUUGCCCCAUAUACACAGGUAGUCACUGCUUGUACGCUUUUUUUGAAGAGGUGAUGUGUUACUGAUUUAGCUGUCCUUUUAAAGAGCAUAGAGUGAAUAAUUGUUACAAAGGCUGCAAAUAAAACCUUGUACCACUAUAAAAUGCACAAAACCUGGACAAACAGAUGUCCAUGCCCUUGUUGCAUCACAAAAGCCCAACAUUUUGAGCAUUACAGUUUUUGCUGCCUUUUCACAGAAAACGUCUGUUUGCUUGCAGUGUGAGAGCACAGGCAGCCCAGGCUUGCCCCUACUUCCCAGUCACAGGUGCUCCCAGGGCCUGAUCCUACAGGACAGUACCAGUUUUCAAUUAGCAAUACUCGUGCCUCAGAUUAACCUCAUUGGUAUAGUAUUGCCACUGCAGACAGCUUUUUCCAGUCAGUCUCCCAUCCAAAUACUAACUAGGCUUGACCUUGCUUAGCUUCUGAGGUCAGACAAGAUAAGACGUGUUCAGGGUGGUAUAGCCGUAGACAACAGCACCAGCUGCUUGACUCUGACCCGGGGUAUGCAUCUGCAGGUGUAGAGCAUGAAACCCAUGAACUUCCCUGCUAUGUACCUGUAGAAAAAUUCCUGGGGUGAACAUCUGCAGGUUUUGUUCUCUUGUCACUCUUCUGUUUUAAAGAUAUUCUGUUAUUGUAAGGCACCCUGAGCCUUGGUGGAAAGGGCAGCAUAUACAUCAAAUAAAUAAAUAAGCUGGCCCCUCUUCAUAAAAUGUGGCUAGAGGAGGUGGUAAUGGAUGUGGUCCCCAAUAGGCUAGUGGGUAGAAUACUCAUCCAAGUAGGAAGAGACCUGCAUUUAAUACUUUUUUCUGCCUGAGUGUAGUUGGACUGUGUUUCCCACCUCCCAGGUGGAAAACCAAGCUACAGAGUAAUUUUGGGGUGGGUAGGGUCUCAGUUCCUUCUCUCAAAGCUUUUCACUUUGUAUGGAAUAACUGAAUAUUCAUUGACCAAAAAGAGAGAGAACUUUGUAGCCUAAUGGUUAGGGCAUAGUGAUUAGGGAACCUGUUUUCUAGCUCAUGUUCCAACAAAUCUUUCUUCCCAGCAUGUGCCCUAACACAAGGCUAUUCUGGCUCCUGAUGGACAUUAAUGUAAUCAAAGGAUGGGAUCUGAGGCAUUUUAUCCUGAAUCCCUAAAAUUACUUGUGCUUCCAUGCCAGACGUUUGAGGUCUAGCACAGCAGGAUGCGGGACUUUGAGGAUUUGAAUCCUGGAAGAGAACACACCAAAUGCAGAAACUUCCUCAGCCUGAUGAAGGGUUUUUAAACCUGAAAGCUUGUUUAAAUUUUUUUUCCAACUAUUUAAGUUUGUCUAAUAAAAGAUAUCAGAUUCACCCAAGGAACCUUGUCAGAUUUCAUCAUGUGUUUAUUGGCACCCAGGGAACCCAGGACCAGGGAGUGGCUCCCUGGUAAUGGGCUCCCCGUAUGCCCUUUAAACUUGCUGGUGCUUAGGGAGCCCAGGACUGGAGACUGAUGCCUGAUCCUAGGCACCCCAUGCUCCCAGACCUUUAAAGGAUGUACAUGCAGCGCAGGACCAAGGAGCCACUCUGAUCCCAGACUGCAUGUGCACCUUUGAAAUUUGCUGGCGUAUGGAGAGCCCUACAUCAGUGACCAGCUCCUUAGUGCUAGAUUUUCUGCAUACCCAUUUAAAAUUCCUGGUGUGUGGGGAGCCAGGUCCUAGCAUUUUCAAUGCAUGGUUUGCAAUGUACUGGCAAGUUUAAUGGAUAUGAAGGCAGCCCAGCACUGGGGAGCAGCUCCUCAGUCCAUGCUUCCUGCAUGCUUUUUCAACUAACUAAUGUGCCACAAGUUCAAAUUAAAACACAAUCAAAUGCACUACAAAUAUGUUCCAUAGUAUCUUUGAAGCUGGUUCACCAUUUUUGUGGCUAGUUUGUCACUUUUACCAUAAAAAUUGCUUGAAUGUGUGGUAUGUUGCCACUUACUGUGUGAUUAACAUCUGCCAGGGCCCACAGUCACACUAAUUUGUUCUCUUGUGUGCAUUCUCUCUCUUUUCUUGAUUUAUCUUCCCUGCAAACUAGAUCAGCUUUAUUAAGAGAGAUUGAGAGAGACCCAUCAAAGCACCCUAUAGCCUGGUGGUUAGGGAUAUACCUGUGAGGUGUGAGAUGUCAGAAGUGGAGACAAACAUUUGUUGAAGCCAAUAACGAAAUGUGACAGCAGUACUCAAACUGACACUCAUAUCUUGCCUCCAACUAUUGUGAAGUCCUAUGAAUGGAAUGAAUGGGAACUGAGGAGAAAAG